AUCACGAAGAGUUUGAUCCUGGCUCAGAACUAACGCUGGCGGCGCGUCUUAAACAUGCAAGUCGAACGGUAAGGUCCUUCGGGAUACACGAGUGGCAAACGGGUGAGUAACACGUAGGCAACCUGUCCCUGAGUGGGGGACAACCCGGGGAAACUCGGGCUAAUACCCCAUACUCCAUCUUUUUUACGGAUUUGAUGGUAAAAACUCCGGUGCUCGGGGAUGGGCCUGCGGCUUAUUAGCUUGAUGGUGGGGUAACGGCUCACCAUGGCGACGAUGAGUAGCCGGCCUGAGAGGG
rnacentral:rRNA from 1 species